CCUACGGGUGGCAGCAGUGGGGAAUAUUGGACAAUGGGGGCAACCCUGAUCCAGCCAUGCCGCGUGUGUGAAGAAGGCCCUCGGGUUGUAAAGCACUUUCAGUGAGGAAGAACGCCUGGUGGUUAAUACCCAUCAGGAAAGACAUCACUCACAGAAGAAGCACCGGCUAACUCCGUGCCAGCGGCCGCGGUAAUACGGAGGGUGCGAGCGUUAAUCGGAAUUACUGGGCGUAAAGCGCGCGUAGGUGGCUUGAUAAGCCGGUUGUGAAAGCCCCGGGCUCAACCUGGGAACGGCAUCCGGAACUGUCAAGCUAGAGUGCAGGAGAGGAAGGUAGAAUUCCCGGUGUAGCGGUGAAAUGCGUAGAGAUCGGGAGGAAUACCAGUGGCGAAGGCGGCCUUCUGGACUGACACUGACACUGAGGUGCGAAAGCGUGGGUAGCAAACAGGAUUAGAUACCCUAGUAGUC
rnacentral:rRNA from 1 species